AGUUUAUUAACGGCAAGGGUUAAAGUGGACGAAAAGUAUAACGGGGACAAAUGUAAACAAUAUGCAAAAUAGUAGAAGGACAAAUCUAGACCUUCUCCAAAGAUCAAUAUCCCUCAAAUCGGCCCUCUCUCUCUUGUCUGGACAGAAGCUCACAAAGUGAAAGAAGAGCCCAAAACUCUCACUAGAAUCGGCCCUCCCUCUCUACAGAUCAGCUCUUCUCAGCUAAAAUUUCACUCAAUUCGAAGUCCCUCAAAUCAAAAUAUGAAUCUCAUUUGUCAGUGUGUGUAGGAGGAAAAUGUAGAAGUAGACAAGAGGAUCCAUCUAGAAGUGGACAAGAGGAUGCAUGAACAAUUUGAUAGUUUCAUGACCAGAAUGCAACAGAAUUUCUUUUGUAGGCAGUAACCAAUCUGUCCAAUGUGUGAAAAAGAUAAUAAUGUGCCUUCUUAUGGAAUAGUACAACAGGAGGCGCGCUUGGAGAGCAGCCAAUAUUAUUCUCCUAUGAGUUUUGUUAUUGCAUUCUGUGGCCAUAUUGUUCAAGAUGACAGGGUACUAGCCAAGGAGAAGCUUGAAGACAUUUUACUUUUGCUGCUGCUUUAUUUUUUUUUCUUUUUCGGGGUGUUUCAUGCGUAUGGACAAUUCCUAUAUAUUCUGAAUUUUAAUAAAAAGUUUGUUGAUCUUUUUGUUUGAUAAGAGAUUUAA